rnacentral:rRNA from 1 species
AUUGAACGCUGGCGGCAGGCCUAACACAUGCAAGUCGAACGAGUGGCGGACUGGUGAGUAAUGGCUGGGAAACUGCCCGAUGGAGCGGGAUAACUACUGUAAAAGGUAGCUAAUACCGCAUACCAUCGGAUGUGCCCCGAUGGCAUUAGCUAGUCGGGGGGGUAUCGGCUCACCUAGGCGACGAUCCCUAGCUGGUCUGAGAGGAUGACCAGCCACACUGGAACUGAGACACGGUCCAGACUCCUACGGGAGGAAGCAGUGGGGAAUAUUCCACAAUGGGCGCAAGCCUGAUGGAGCCAUGCCGCGUUGAUGAAGAAGGCCUUCGGGUUGUAAAGUACUUUAAGCGAGGAGGCGUUACUCGCAGAAGAAGCAUCGGCUAACUCCGUGCCAGCAGCCGCGGUAAUAC